AAACCCCACCACACGCUCACUCACACACAGAAACGCACACACAUACACACGCUUGGCCUUCUUCUUCUUCGUCUUCGCCCACAGGCUGGUAGAAGAAGAGGAGGAGAAGGAGGAGAACAGGAGGAAGAGGGUGACAUAGGCGAUUACCUCACUGUUCUUCUUCUUCUCAU
ensembl:ncRNA C17G1.9 ncRNA